AACAUUAUCGAAGCAUUGCAGAAGCCCAGGGACAGUUAUGACAAAUUAAAUCAUAGUUAUUUAUGCCCGGGAAAUUCCGAUCAGCCAAAAGGGAAGCUUGAACUUGAAGGUCACAAACAUGUGCAAGAUUGCAGAUCCACGUUGCCUCGUCUGAAGUCAUGUCGUGUGCAGUGAGCAUGAGAAAAUCAACCCUACUUUACCCUAGACUAGAAAAAAGACUGGAGGUCAGAAUGCAGGAUGAUUGAGCAAGGAGUGCUGGCAGAUGGACUAUUGAGGUCAACAAAAAAUUUGGACUUUCAUCGGGU